CUUCGAUUUAAUUUUAAGAAAAAAGGAUAUUGCACUUGUUGUGCCAAUAUUAAAAAAUGUGCAAAGUUUUAAAAAAUUUUACCGAAGGAAAAGGGAGAAAUUUGGGUUUAAUUUUGGCAAUUUUUACUAGAUUUUGACGCGAACAAUUUAAUACCACAACUGACGUGUACAUGCAUUUUGUAUAAAACAACAAGGGCAAGGCAUGACUUUUUUUGAAAUCACAAAAUAUAAAUUAUGUUUGAUAUACUGUUCAUAACUGUGUCGGUUAAUGGUCAACUAAGCGUGGAUUAUACAUGUAAAAUUGGCAAAGAUAUUUAGGUAAUUACUGGUUAUGACUUCUUGGUAUUAAUUUGACUACUAUAUCGUCGGAUGUUUUCGCAAAAUGCCCGUUCAAAUUCUUGAGGAAACUUCCUAUCAUAUAGGUUAGCACUAAAAGGCGGAACGCUGGAACGUGGAAUGCUGGAACGUGGAACGCUGGAACGGGGAAUGCUAUUUUUUACCUUUUCUUGUUAUUUAUCAAUAUUUUGAGUUGAUUUGCUUGGUAUAACCACGCGCUCGCAUAGGCA